rnacentral:rRNA from 1 species
UACAGAGGUCUCAAGCGUUAAUCGGAAUUACUGGGCUUAAAGGGUCCGCAGGCGGACCAGCAAGUACCCUUGUGAAAUCUCAGGUCUCAACCCUGAGUCUGCUAGGUAGACUGCUGGUCUUGAGUGCAAAAGGGGUCGCUGGAACUCUAGGUGGAGCGGUGAAAUGCGUAGAGAUCCGGAGGAACACCAGUGGCGAAGGCGACACGCUGGGCCGUACCUCGACACUCGAAGCCGCGACGAGC